rnacentral:lncRNA from 1 species
CUGAGGGGUGUUUUCUGUACUCACAGGAGUGAAAGCUUCUGGGCGCUGUGGGGGUGGGGGGACUGUGUGCUUUGGCUAACUUGGAAGUUUUGUAAUGAGGGCACCAUUCCGUCUAUAUGGGCUUGUGGUGGACUUUGGAAAAUAAGCAGAUGAAUGGCUUCUCAGUUUUCUUAACACAGACUUAAGUGUUUCUGAGCUGUCUGGAGCCAGAUAAAUGCUAUGGGAAAAACAGAUUCAGAACACAGGCCCUUCUCUACUCUGUAGAGGCAGUUCAGCUGUCUCUGGGGACAGCAGCAAUCUUCUGAGGGAGUCACAGACAGUGGUGAAACUGUGGACACAAUAAAUGUCUUUAUGCCAUGCUAACUUUCGUGACAAUUAAUCAAAUGGGACCUUUAUAAAUUGAAGCCUAUAGCUGUUUAUUAAGGAAAUAUUCACAGAAGGAACACACAGACCAACGCAUUAUGCCAAGGCCCAAGUGAACUUCCUGGAAGUUUCUAAAUUUGCAUUUUCAUAUACUGGGGGUUUUGUAUUUUAACUUACAAAAUUUAAAAAGUAACAAAAGUGUAUUUUAGGAAAUCUGGAAGCUCUUCAUAAUGGUGACCCCCGCAGCCCUACUUCUAGCUACCUUCCCUGUUUCUUCUUUACCUUCUUAUGCUUCCCGCUGUUGUCUCCCUCCCAAUAAACUUUACAAAGGCUUUGUGGUUCAUUUUGUUUUCUGCUGUACCCUGAAAUAUGGGGAAGUGCUAAAUAUUUGUUGAAAUAAUAAAUGAUUGUGGGAUUGAUAAUAAUAUGGAGAAGUGCUAAAUAUUUGUCGAAAUAAUAAUUGAUUGUGGGAACGAUAAUAAUAAUAUUUACCACCCAGAUAUGAC